rnacentral:rRNA from 1 species
GACGAACGCUGGCGGCGUGCUUAACACAUGCAAGUCGAGCGGAAAGGCCCUUUCGGGGGUACUCGAGCGGCGAACGGGUGAGUAACACGUGAGUAAUCUGCCCUUCACUUGGGGAUAACCUCCGGAAACGGUGGCUAAUACCCGAUACGACCAGCCUACGCAUGUGGUGUUGGUGGAAAGUUUUUUCGGUGGGGGAUGUGCUCGCGGCCUAUCAGCUUGUUGGUGGGGUAAUGGCCUACCAAGGCUUCGACGGGUAGCCGGCCUGAGAGGGUGACCGGCCACACUGGGACUGAGACACGGCCCAGACUCCUACGGGAGGCAGCAGUGGGGGAUAUUGGACAAUGGGCGGAAGCCUGAUCCAGCAACGCCGCGUGAGGGAUGACGGCCUUCGGGUUGUAAACCUCUUUCAGCGGGGACGAAGCCUUCGGGUGACGGUACCCGCAGAAGAAGCACCGGCCAACUACGUGCCAGCAGCCGCAGUAACAC